GAGGGAAUGAGUGGAGGCGGGGGGAGUCUGGGGUGGAUCUCCCCCCACAGAGAGCCCUGGUCUACACCAAUUAGAGACACCAGCCCAGCCCCAGGGGUGUGCUAAGCAGGAGAGCCAGAGGGACAGAGUGGGGUUGGCUGAGGCAGACGCACUGUCCCUCCACCUGAGCAUGCUGGGAGCCACCGCCAUCGCAGACAGGUCCCGAAGGAGGAAGCCUGAUCCGGGCAUGUGGGCUGCUCCCCUCACUGCUCCUUUGAAGAUGUUCCCAGUAGCACUAAAGCAGCUUUGCAGGCAGUCCUGAGCCCCAACCUGGAGUCACACGCUGCCCGCCUUUCCUUCUCUAGGAAUCUGAAUCCCAGACUCCCAGAGGUAAGUGAACUUCAGGGUUAUAGUCUCCAUCCUUCUAUCCCAUACUUCAUUCUCUGUCCCCAGUAAUUUUUUAAAAAGAUUUAUUUAUUCAUGAGAGACACACACACACACAGAGAGGCAGAGACACAGGCAGGGGGAAGAAGCAGGCUCCAUGCAGGGAGCCCGAUGCGGGACUUGAUCCCAGGAUCCCAGGAUUAUGCCCUGAGCCCAAGGCAGACGCUCAACCACUGAACCACCCAGGCAUCCCAUCCUCAGUAAUUAAACCUCUGCUUGCACACUUCUCGUAUCAGGGAACUCACUGCUCUGUGGUUUGGAGGAAAUUCUGAUUGUGGAAGUGAUCCUCAUCCACAGAGCUGAUACUUGCCUCCCCCAGUCACAGCUCUGCUUUCUGGGGCCACACAGUGCCAGGUGGCCUCUCACUUGGGAAUUUCUAAGCGGAUCCAAAGUCCAACCCAGUGCUUAGGGGGCUCCUCUACUCUGUCCCCCAGUCCUCUACAGAGAUAACAUCCUGGUUCUGCUAAUCCACUCAUAGUUCUCUUAUUUGGGGUCCCUGGCUCUUUGGAGCUACAGGACUAGGGGGACCCAAGACCCCUGAGAACUGUAACUUGCCCCAAUUGUGACCUUCCCUUGGAUCUUGUCCUCAUUUUUUUUUAUUUU
rnacentral:lncRNA from 12 species